rnacentral:rRNA from 1 species
GACGAACCGUACAAACGUUAUUCGGAAUUACUGGGCUUAAAGGGUGCGUAGGCGGCGGAGAAAGUUGGGUGUGAAAUCCCUCGGCUCAACCGAGGAACUGCGCCCAAAACUACUUUGCUUGAGGGAGACAGAGGUAAGCGGAACUUAGGGUGGAGCGGUGAAAUGCGUUGAUAUCCUAAGGAACACCAGUGGCGUAAGCGGCUUACUGGGUCUCUUCUGACGCUGAGGCACGAAAGCUAGGGUAGCGAACGGG